UCGAGGAAGUAGAAGCAGCAAAGACAUUGAUUCGGAAUGUCGAAAAGGAAGAGCAAGCGAGAAUGGAAGCGAUUUCGAAGCAGACAAAGACCCCAGAUGUUCCUCAAGAGUUGUUCAUGAUCCUGCAAGAAAUGCAAAAACAGUUGAGCUUUUUUCAAACCAAAGAACAAAAAUUGGAGGCUGUAAAAUUGCUUGAUCUUGAAAAUGUUCAUAACCUGUUCGAUGAAUUCAUUCAAAGAGCUUCCAAAUGCCUCUCUUGGCCUCCUCCUCCUCCUACUUCUUCUUCUCCCACUUCUGUUUCUG
rnacentral:lncRNA from 1 species